CCGGGUCGGUGCCGUCAUGGCUAAAAGAGGAGCGAUUGGAUCUGGAGAGUCCGGGAGCGACGGAGGAUGCAUUAUAGAAACAAAUCAGCCCGAGAAGGGCAAUAAGUGCGAUUAGAACGUAGGUAAUUAGCCUGGAAGUGCGAAGUUGCUCGCUCUUCUGCUUCAUUUCUCGAUUCUGCUCUGUAUAAUAAACCAGACCAAACAAAAUUGGACGAUAGGAACAAAGAUAGUGACUGCUAAACCCUAGAAGCAGAUUUG
rnacentral:misc_RNA from 1 species